CAGUCGCCGCGGGAAUACGAAGGGGGCUAGCGUUGUUCGGAUUUACUGGGCGUAAAGCGCACGUAGGCGGACUUUUAAGUCAGGGGUGAAAUCCCGGGGCUCAACCCCGAAACUGCCUUUGAUACUGGAAGUCUUGAGUAUGGUAGAGGUGAGUGGAAUUCCGAGUGUAGAGGUGAAAUUCGUAGAUAUUCGGAGGAACACCAGUGGCGAAGGCGGCUCACUGGACCAUUACUGACGCUGAGGUGCGAAAGCGUGGGGAGCAAACAGGAUUAGAUACCCCAGUAGUCCCUGUCUCUUAUAC
rnacentral:rRNA from 1 species